rnacentral:misc_RNA from 1 species
ACGCAGGGCUCCGCGGCGCCU